GCCUGGGUGGCUCAGUCGGUUAAGCGUCUGACUUCCGCUCAGGUCACGAUCUCGUGGUUUGUGAGUUCGAGCCCCACAUCAGGCU
rnacentral:tRNA from 1 species